UGGUACUCUUGAGGGAGGUGGUUCAGAGCCAGCAGAAAGUCGGUCAGAUAUAAGGGAAGAUAAGUGUCGUAAAUGACUGUAACAACCCAGCACAAUGAUGAAGCACGUGUAACUUUCGCAGUGUCACAUGGCUAUUCCAAAAGCUACGAUUCUAUUCAGGUGACAUGACUGCGCAAUCCAAACUUCAAACCACUGAGCAAUAAUGCUCCCUACAGUAGUUGAGUGUCCACUGGGGAACAGGAAGGAGGAAGACGGAAGAGGUGGAAUGACUGCACAUUUCAUCAUGAAGAUUUAUCUGGAGGCUCUGACCUUGAGCUUGGAGCAUCUGAAGUAUGUAUGUAGGUUCCACGUGGGAUGGAAAAUAGUCUCUUCCAUUCCGAGACUAUUCAGAGGACCUAAAGAAAUCUCAAUGGCCGCACUGGAAAAUCUUGAAGAAGCUCACGGUUUACAAAGAUAUUAAAGAUAAAAUAAGGUUCACAAAAAGAGGGAAGAACAGAAAAGAAUGCACACUCCUAUAAGUAGACAUCACAGCACAGUGUAAUGAAAAGACCAUGGACCCUGGCGUCAGACUGCCUGAAUUCAAACUGCAAACCUUUUGGUUCUGUGUCUUUGAGCAAGCCACUUAACUUCUCUGAG